CGUUCAACUGGUGUUUCCCGUUAUACCACUAAAAAAAAUCGAAGAAAUACGCCAAAUCGAAUUGAGAUAAA
rnacentral:tRNA from 1 species